UACGUAGGCCGCAAGCGUUGUUCGGAAUUACUGGGCGUAAAGCGUGUGUAGGCGGUGUUCUAAGUUUGUCGUGAAAUCUCCCGGCUUAACUGGGAGGGUGCGGCGAAAACUGGAAUGCUAGAGGAUGGGAGAGGUAAGCGGAAUUCCUGGUGUAGCGGUGAAAUGCGUAGAUAUCAGGAGGAACACCUGUGGUGUAGACAGCUUACUGGACCAUUACUGACGCUGAGACACGAAAGCGUGGGUAGCAAACAGG
rnacentral:rRNA from 1 species